rnacentral:rRNA from 1 species
UACGUAGGUGGCAAGCGUUGUCCGGAUUUAUUGGGCUUAAAGGGUGCGUAGGCGGUUUUGUAAGUCAGUGGUGAAAUACUCCAGCUUAACUGGAGGGGUGCCAAUGAUACUGCAGAACUUGAGUACAGAUGAGGUAGGCGGAAUUGACGGUGUAGCGGUGAAAUGCAUAGAUAUCGUCAAGAACACCGAUAGCGAAGGCAGCUUACUGGGCUGUAACUGACGCUGAGGCACGAAAGUGUGGGGAUCAAACAGG